rnacentral:rRNA from 1 species
UUCUCGGAAGAUUGACAGAUUGAGAGCUCUUUCUUGAUUUGGUGGAUGGUGGUGCAUAUCUCCGUUCUUAGCUGGUGGAGCGAUUUGUCUGGUCAAUUCCCAUAACGAACGAGACUCUAGCCUAUUAAAGGGGCAAUGCAACGUGUUUUUGUAUUUUGCGCAAGUACCGCUUAGAACGGAUCCCUGACGUUAAUGACCUGUGAAAUACCCGUUCGUUUUUCACCGCAUGCAAUCGAAGUUGCAGAAAAAAAUAAAGAAAAACGAGCAGAGUUCACCCCCUCAACUCGCAGCCAGAACAAGCGGCCACGUGAUCUGGAGCCGAUUAUAUGCCGCCAAUGUUGAUCAUAGCCAUGCGCUGGGGUUGGCAAGGCACAGGACACGCGCUGAGUUCCAGACAUUGUUAUGGUUCGGCUGUUGUCGUCAUUGCAGCGAUUGGACACAGGACACUGCCCGAAUGCUUCUCGAGCUAUAGAUUAUCACGAGCCCAAAUCGAGUGGUCACGCCAUGCUCGGGUCCAAUCUAUGAGCUGCAUUCAAAUAUCGUCACUGGGCGGUACUGCUACCGCCCAGCUACGUCAUCAGGUUUUGCGAAGGAGAGAUUGAAUGAAAACACUCGGUUUUGUCCUCGAAGUUACAGCGCGACAAAGGAGUUUCUUGGUCAAUGGCGUUGCGUGCGAGUAUCCUUGAGUCCCACUAGUGCCAGUAAGCUCGUGUAAAGUGAAAAACAUUCCAAUUGAAUAUCGUUGCACCGCCCCUUUAAAUAGGUGCGUGGUUCUCUGCACCUUGCACCCUUCUUAGAGCGACAAGCGGCUCCUAGCCGCACAAAAUAGAGCAAUAACAGGUCUGUGAUGCCCAUAGA